UAGGGAAUUUUUCGCAAUGGGCGAAAGCCUGACGAAGCAACGCCGCGUGGAGGAUGAAGGCCUUCGGGUCGUAAACUCCUGUCGACCGGGACGAAAGUAGGAUGGCCUAAUACGCCGAUCUAUUGACUGUACCGGUGGAGGAAGCCACGGCUAACUCUGUGCCAGCAGCCGCGGUAAUACAGAGGUGGCAAGCGUUGUUCGGAAUUACUGGGCGUAAAGGGCGCGUAGGCGGCUUGGUCAGUCCCGUGUGAAAUCCCUCGGCUCAACUGAGGAACUGCACGGGAAACUGCCUGGCUUGAGUUCGGGAGAGGGAAGCGGAAUUCCGGGUGUAGCGGUGAAAUGCGUAGAUAUCCGGAGGAACACCGGUGGCGAAGGCGGCUUCCUGGACCGACACUGACGCUGAGGCGCGAAAGCUAGGGGAGCAAA
rnacentral:rRNA from 1 species